CCUCCUGCAAGGGGGCGGGACUCUGAUGAGUUCAGGGUCAGAGGUCAGCAGGAGGAGAGGAAGGGGAUGGAAGAUGAAGAGGAUCUCCCUGGAUGACGGGGAGGUGGAGGAGCUGUUCCUGGUUACGCUCGCUGCAGGCCCUCGCUCCGGGUCAGCAGCUCCAAAGUGUUCAUCAAUGGCCAUCCUGAUGUGAAGUGGGGGAAGCAGGAAGCAGCACCUGAAGACCACAGCUGGGCUGAUGAUGGCGGAGGCCGAGGGUCUGGUGAACACGCUGGAAAACUGGAGGGUCGUUGAUAAGAUCGUCCUCUCCACCAAAACUCCAGAGAAGAAGAAGAUAUUUGGAAAAGGGAACUUCCAGCUUCUGGCAGACAAAAUCAGACAAACAGCAGGAAUCAACGCCGUGUUUGUGAACGUGGAGCGCCUCUCUCCUGGGGCGGAGGUGAACCUUUGCUCACACUCAUUCACAGCCAUGCACAACACUAACACUGCUCUUUUAUUUUUAAUUCAAAUAUAUUGUACUUUUCUAACCUUUGUCGUGUGACAUUUCUUUGCUAUUUUUUAGUUAAAGGUCACCUAUCAUGCUAUUUGUAGGCAUUAGCAUAGGUCUCAGAUAUAUACAAAUAUAUAAAAA